GUCAAAGGCCCGCCCGGUGCAAAAGUAUUGCUUCCUGUUGCAUUUUGGCGCCAAGGGACUAUGUUGAGGGAUUCUCCGCGGGAAGAGCCACCAUGGGGACCUUUUCCGAGGGGGACAUGGGCGCAGGUUCUUUGCUCCCGGGUUGGUCCGCAACCUCCGCUUCGGGCGCGGGGGAGCUGGGGGAUUUGGCGGCGGCGCUGGCGGCGAAUCCUUGAGCAAUGUCGUCGAAGGUCCUUCCUUUGGUCUCGGGCACCCGCAGGAAAGUGAAGAUGAAGAAGAGGAUGAGCAAGACCAUGAAGAUGAUGAACACGUAAGGACCGCAGAGUUCCUAAGGGAAGCACAGACAGAGAGUUUGGAUCAACAAAGUGUGUGCAUGCUGGCGCCCUCUUGUGGCAUAGUAAAGUAUCACCUAUGUACGUUCA